rnacentral:rRNA from 1 species
UGGUUCCUACGGGAGGCAGCAGUGAGGAAUAUUGGUCAAUGGGCGGAAGCCUGAACCAGCCAAGUCGCGUGAGGGAAUAAGGCCCUACGGGUCGUAAACCUCUUUAGGCGGGGAGCAAUGCCGGGCACGCGUGCCCGGAGGGAGAGUACCCGCAGAAUAAGCAUCGGCUAACUCCGUGCCAGCAGCCGCGGUAAUACGGAGGAUGCGAGCGUUAUCCGGAUUUAUUGGGUUUAAAGGGUGCGUAGGCGGAUUUUUAAGUCAGCGGUAAAAUGUCCGGGCUCAACCCGGGCCGGCCGUUGAAACUG